UGGGGAAUAUUGCACAAUGGGGGAAACCCUGAUGCAGCAACGCCGCGUGAGUGAUGAGGUUUUCGGAUCGUAAAGCUCUGUCUUUGGGGAAGAUAAUGACGGUACCCAAGGAGGAAGCCACGGCUAACUACGUGCCAG
rnacentral:rRNA from 1 species